rnacentral:tRNA from 1 species
GUGGUGGCUCAGUGGUAGAAUGCUUGCCUAGCACGUGUGAGGCCCUGGGUUCAAUUCUCAGCACCACA